rnacentral:rRNA from 1 species
AACGGCAUUAUGUGCUUGCACAUUUUGGACGUCGACCGGCGCACGGGUGAGUAUCGCGUAUCCAACCUGCCCUUUACUUGGGGAUACCCCGUUGAAAGACGGCCUAAUACCCGAUGUAAUUCAUUGAUGGCAUCAGAUAUGAAUAAAAGAUUUAUCGGUAAAGGACGGGGAUGCGUCUGAUUAGCUUGUUGGUGAGGUAAAGGCUCACCAAGGCAACGAUCAGUAGGGGUUCUGAGAGGAAGGUCCCCCACAUUGGAACUGAGACACGGUCCAAACUCCUACGGGAGGCAGCAGUGAGGAAUAUUGGUCAAUGGGCGGAAGCCUGAACCAGCCAAGUAGCGUGCAGGAAGACGGCCCUAUGGGUUGUAAACUGCUUUUAUACGAGAAUAAUUUGAUGCACGUGUGCGUUAUUGCAUGUAUCGUAUGAAUAAGGACCGGCUAAUUCCGUGCCAGCAGCCGCGGUAAUACGGAAGGUCCAGGCGUUAUCCGGAUUUAUUGGGUUUAAAGGGAGUGUAGGCGGUUUGUUAAGCGUGUUGUGAAAUUUAGGUGCUCAACAUUUAACUUGCAGCGCGAACUGUCAGACUUGAGUACACGCAACGUAUGCGGAAUUCAUGGUGUAGCGGUGAAAUGCUUAGAUAUCAUGAAGAACUCCGAUUGCGAAGGCAGCAUACGGGAGUGUAACUGACGCUUAAGCUCGAAGGUGCGGGUAUCGAACAGGAUUAGAUACCCUGGUAGUCCGCACAGUAAACGAUGGAUGCCCGCUGUUAGCGCCUGGCGU